rnacentral:rRNA from 1 species
GAAGUUAGCGGCGGACGGGUGAGUAACACGUGGGUAACCUGCCCAUAAGACUGGGAUAACUCCGGGAAACCGGGGCUAAUACCGGAUAACAUUUUGAACUGCAUGGUUCGAAAUUGAAAGGCGGCUUCGGCUGUCACUUAUGGAUGGACCCGCGUCGCAUUAGCUAGUUGGUGAGGUAACGGCUCACCAAGGCAACGAUGCGUAGCCGACCUGAGAGGGUGAUCGGCCACACUGGGACUGAGACACGGCCCAGACUCCUACGGGAGGCAGCAGUAGGGAAUCUUCCGCAAUGGACGAAAGUCUGACGGAGCAACGCCGCGUGAGUGAUGAAGGCUUUCGGGUCGUAAAACUCUGUUGUUAGGGAAGAACAAGUGCUAGUUGAAUAAGCUGGCACCUUGACGGUACCUAACCAGAAAGCCACGGCUAACUACGUGCCAGCAGCCGCGGUAAUACGUAGGUGGCAAGCGUUAUCCGGAAUUAUUGGGCGUAAAGCGCGCGCAGGUGGUUUCUUAAGUCUGAUGUGAAAGCCCACGGCUCAACCGUGGAGGGUCAUUGGAAACUGGGAGACUUGAGUGCAGAAGAGGAAAGUGGAAUUCCAUGUGUAGCGGUGAAAUGCGUAGAGAUAUGGAGGAACACCAGUGGCGAAGGCGACUUUCUGGUCUGUAACUGAC